rnacentral:rRNA from 1 species
UACAGAGGUCUCAAGCGUUGUUCGGAUUCAUUGGGCGUAAAGGGUGCGUAGGCGGCGCGGUAAGUCGGGUGUGAAAUUUCGAGGCUUAACUUCGAAACUGCAUUCGAUACUGCCGUGCUUGAGGACUGGAGAGGAGACUGGAAUUUACGGUGUAGCGGUGAAAUGCGCAGAUAUCAGGAAGAACACCCGUGGCGAAGGCGGCUCUCUGGGACGGUACUGACGCUGAGACGCGAAAGCGUGGGGAGCGAACAGG